rnacentral:misc_RNA from 1 species
UUUCCGUAGGUGAACCUGCGGAAGGAUCAUUAUUGAAUAAACCUGAUGUGGUUGUAGCUGGCCCUUUCGGGAGCAUGUGCACACCCGUCGUCUUUAUCUUUCCUCCUGUGCACCUUUUGUAGACCUGGAUGUAACACUUUCCGAGGCAACUCGGUCGGGAGGAAUGCUGUCAGCUUUCCUUGAAUGUCCAGGCCUAUGUUUUCAUAUACCCCAAAGAAUGUAACAGAAUGUAUUAUUGGGCCUUGUGCCUAUAAACUAUAUACAACUUUCAGCAACGGAUCUCUUGGCUCUC